CUUUCUCUCUCUAAUACUUUUUAUCACUUCCUUUAGAAACCGUGCAAGCUUUAUGAUGUAGUGUGACGAAUCUGUAUACUGUAUGUGAUGAUUUCUUUUAUACAAACACUCAUUUAUAUAUUAUAGAUGCAUAAUCUUUAUUCCACUCACUGCCCCAUCAUUCCUUAAUACAUACCGAGAACACAACACGACAUACAUUCAAUCAGAUGCAUACAUUGAGCCUAUUGCAUGUGUAUACAAAAUCACAAACACGUCUAUACAAGCUUCUCGAUUCAUCUUUACACGUGAUAGUUGUGUAAAUAGACAAGUGGGGGGAAAACGAGACAGAGAAUAGAAGGUACAUAUUUCUUUCUUAAUCUCAUUAAGAUCAUUAUGAUCACAUACAUAUGACGCAAGGUGCUUCAAUUUUCUAAAAGCUUAUGACAACAAAGUCAGGACAACCGUUUAGCCUUCUGUUUUGCCUCUGUCAAUUUGUCUAACGAUCUAUCAAUCAUAUAUAACUAGAUCAUUUUUAUAUUUAUAUAUAACUAUAUUUCUUCCUCCCAUAAUUAUAUAUAUACAUAUAUAUGUAGAUACACACAAACCAAUUUAUAUCUUUCCCUGUAGCUGCUUAAAUAUAUACGUACGCAACUUUCCCUCCACUUAAUAUAUAUGAAGUGACUUCCUUACUACAAAGGUUAUAGGGUUGUUUUUUUUUUGUUUUGUUUUGUGUUUAAGAAACAGUCAAGAUCUGCGAUGUUUGUAUUGUAGAUCUGGCAAAACAACACGACCAAACUACUUGCAGCAUUCUGUAAAUUCUUCGGUAGAGCUUACGAAAUGAAGUUGAUAUCAGGAAAUAUGACUCUCAGUCACUUAAGUCAUCUGCUGCCAUUUGCUAUAGCGAGAAAACAAAAAAGGUUAUUGAAAUUAUCUAUAAAUAUAUAGUGCAAAAAAAGAACUAAGUCUACACUAACAAUCGCAUAUAAAUAAUUUGUAUGUACAUAAUAACAGUCAUAGGUGAAUAAAUGCAUGUAAAACAGCAGCGGGUCUUUCAUAAGCGGAACCUCUAAAGCUAUUAAAAAAACUUGCGUAUAAAAGAUUCAAUCUUUUAAUAUAAUUUAUAUCGGUGUAUAUGUAUAUGUAUAUUUAUUUAUUUAUAAGAGGAGGAGGAAAAGGUUAUUUUUUAAACUAGUGCAAUUAAAUUUGAGCUGAGUAAUGUUGUGUUUAACAACAGCUGACUGCAGCUUCUAACACACACACUCAAGCUUUCACUUCUGUGUGUGUGUGUGUAUAUAUAUAUAUAUUAUAUAUAUAUAUAUAUAUUAUAUAAUAUAUAUAUAUGUUUGUACCUAUGCUUGUAUAUAUUGUCGUCCCUUUUGAAAAGUGGAAAUAAGAGAGCCUUGCAUUUUACAAACAUUGAAAGAAACCAGUUUUAUUUUAUAAGCCGGAAACUAAUUAACUGUUUUAGUGGGACAGAAAAUGGAAAAUAAAGCUAAUAAUACAGAUUGUGAUUAUUUAACAUGUGGGCGUUGCCUGCGAGAAUUCCCACUGCAGAAUAUUACCAACUUCAUUCAUCAUAAGAAGAAUGACUGUGAUGCUGACACGGGGGAUAAAUCAAAGAAUUCAGAUGCACUUGGUCGCCAGUUAUACUGUUCCUCAUGCACCAAGGCUUUCUUGUCUGCAUGGGAGAUGCUACAACAUGCACAGUUCACCCACAAAUUCAAAAUAUUUUUCGAUGUCAACCAGCAAGUCUGUGAGAGCCGCACUGGUGUUACUACCCUCAGUGUGACCAGCAAGAAUAUCUCUCUCGAAAAGGAGAACAAAGAAGUCGAAGAGACUGUUCUACCAGAAGUUAUCUCACUCAAACAAGAAGUAACUGAUGAAGAGCUAUCAGAAAACACAUCUUUAAGUCUGUUUCCGAGCAAAGGCAGCAGCAGCAGCAACAACAACAACAACAGCAACAACAGUAGCAACAACAACACCAACAAAAAACAAGGAGACUGUUCUGUCAGCUCACAAGAAAUGCAAUGUUGCAGUUCAGUACUUCCCAAAAAGCGAAAACAACACAUUGAGACAUCACAUCACAUAGCAGAAGGGGCCUUCAAAGAGAGGAGUAUUCACAGAAAUGAUAGCAGUUUGAGAAUUGGUCGUAAAAGAAUGUUCAGCGGUGCCCAAUAUUACUUGAGUCGCAGUCAACUUGGCUAUGGGAAAUAUUCUCAUAGCAGAGGUUUUGGUGGUGUCAACCGAAUUCAAACUGUUUCAAAGAACCGGAAGUACCCAAGUGAGAUUUAUAUAGAUGUUGAACAUGAGAACGAGAACCAGGAUUUGAUCGAUUCCCAUGAUUCAAAUCACAGCGAAAGUGGUACCUCGUGCCACAAAGACCCUUUUGUAGAAACAUCUACCAGCAAAAGCUGUCGGACCAGAGAAAUCAACGCUGAUAACCUUGUUAGUAGUAGCAGAUCAUUUAUUCUUCAGCCAGGCACCGUGUUUUCUAUUCCUUUCUCUUACCCUGUCCAUAGUGAACCAUCUUCAGGUUCCAAUACUUCAUGCCCAACCAUUUACACAACAGGCUUGAGUGACAGUAAUAGCCAAAAACAGAGCAACUCAUCAACAGAUGGUAGCACUGUUUCAGCAACAUCCAAAGUGUCCAGUUGCAACAACAUUCCAACAAUAAAACCAUCCUCUUCUCUCAGCAAGAACAAGUCAACCACAUUGUCUUCUCUUCUCAUCAAAUCACCAACUUCUGACAAACAAGCACAACAAUCAGAGAUUCUGAUUGGUCAGCGAUCUCUCUCUCGUAACCGUCCACUGACAACACGUUCUUGUUCACCCAAAUCAGACAACAGCAAUCUUCAACAGGCUAAGGAAAACCAACUUAGUCUUGAUCAACGUGCCCGCAAACGCAAAUACCCCACGUCACGGCCUUUCAAAUGUGAUCAAUGUGACCAUGCCUUUAAUCAAAGAAUUCAUCUGAAAAAACAUCUCAGUAAGCACACAGGUGUGAAGCCAUUCAAAUGUGGUCAAUGUGAUUAUUCAACUGUAGAACGAAGUCAUCUUAAAGUUCACAUUCGCAUUCACACAGGUGAGAAACCUUUCAAAUGUACUUUCUGUGAAUAUGCCACUGCACAGAACAGCACGCUGAAGAUCCACUUGAAGCGUCAUCACGGAGGCCUUUUAUUUAGUUGUCAAAGAUGCGGAAAGAAAUUUACUGGAAAAGACUCUCUGACAAACCAUCUAUCGGAACACAACUCUCAAGUUCUCUCCAACCACACUUUGUCAUCAGAAACAUCUGAUUCACUCAAAGAACAAGACAGAGGGAAGAUUAGUUAGAAACUAACCAAUCAUGUCUGUUUUCCUCCCGUCAGUUAAUGAUUUCACAAAAGAAAGUUUGAUAAAUCUGCAACUUCAUUGUAUUGAUAUCAAAACAACUCUCUUGAAAAAUAUGGUUAAAUAUGCAAUCAGCUUUUUUUUUAAAAUUUUUCUAAUGUUUACUAAAUCUAUGAGAUAAAAUAUUGAAGAAGAAAAACAAAAUAUAUUCAUAUAUAUAUAUUUAUAUAUAUAUAUACAUGUUUAUGUAUGUAUUGCAUAUUGAUGUAUUAUAAAUCAGAAUUCAGAUACUGAAAAAAAAGAGACGUUGGUAAAAUAUUAUGCUACUAAUCUGAAAAUGAAAGAAGAAAAUGAAAUGAAUGAAGAACAAUAAAAAUAAAUACAAAAGAUUAAAUCGUUUGUGGGGAUAGUCUCAGCCUCAGAGACUAGAAACAAUUGUUAAAUCUGCUUUCAUCAUCAUACGACAACCAACCAAUGAAUUAUUGGUUUAAAUAUACUUUGUUCAAAAUAUAUAUUUAUACACACACGAGCAUGAACACACACACACACACACACACACA
rnacentral:misc_RNA from 1 species